GAUGAACGCUAGCUACAGGCUUAACACAUGCAAGUCGAGGGGAAACGACAUCGAAAGCUUGCUUUGAUGGGCGUCGACCGGCGCACGGGUGAGUAACGCGUAUCCAACCUGCCCACCACUUGGGGAUAACCUUGCGAAAGUAAGACUAAUACCCGAUGAUAUCUCUAGACGACAUCUGAAAGGGAUUAAAGAUUUAUCGGUGAUGGAUGGGGAUGCGUCUGAUUAGCUUGUUGGCGGGGUAACGGCCCACCAAGGCGACGAUCAGUAGGGGUUCUGAGAGGAAGGUCCCCCACAUUGGAACUGAGACACGGUCCAAACUCCUACGGGAGGCAGCAGUGAGGAAUAUUGGUCAAUGGGCGAGAGCCUGAACCAGCCAAGUAGCGUGCAGGACGACGGCCCUAUGGGUUGUAAACUGCUUUUAUACGGGAAUAAAGUGGGCCACGCGUGGUCUUUUGCAUGUACCGUAUGAAUAAGGACCGGCUAAUUCCGUG
rnacentral:rRNA from 1 species